rnacentral:lncRNA from 1 species
CUAAAAUUUUUAAAAGUAAACAUAAAAAAUAAAAAACAAUAUAUAAAUUGCACUAUUUAAAACUUCCGAAUCGACGAUCCACACCGUAAACAUUAUUUACAUUAUUUAAAACUUCUAAAAAUCAAAUUUUAUAUAUAUAUAUAUAUAUAUAGGUCAUAGCUACUAUACUAUUAUGAGUAUUGGAGUCCUGGUACUCAUAAGUUGUUUUCGAUGAUGGAGCUUCCGAAUCGACGAUCCACUCCGUUAAAUAUGAUCUAAAGUAUUUGAAACUUCUAGAAAAUAAAUUUCGUAAAUUUUUGAAAUCAUACUAAAGCCCAUCAAGUGGGCAUAAAAUGAACGGUCAAAAUCGAACGACAUCUUAAAAAAGCAUGAUCGAAUCUUUCAAUUCAAGAUCGAAGUUAUUGAUCUUUAUCUAUAUAGUGAAUAGAAUUUCUAUCAAAAAAUUAAUAAAUUUCGAUUCUUUUACAUCGUUAAACUAGAAGGUAUUCCAUAUCGGUCGUUAAAAAUUGUUAAAUUUGUGACACUUGAUCGUAAGGUAAAUGAGAUCGAAAGUA